rnacentral:rRNA from 1 species
GAAUUUUGGACAAUGGGGGCAACCCUGAUUCAGCCAUCCCGCGUGUGCGAUGAAGGCCUUCGGGUUGUAAAGCACUUUUGGCAGGGAAGAAAAGGCUCUGGCUAAUACCUGGAGCUGCUGACGGUACCUGCAGAAUGAGCACCUGCUAACUACGUGCCUGCAGCCGCGGUAAUACGUAGGGGACACGCGUUAAUCGGAAUUACUGGGCGUAAAGCGUGCGCAGGCGGUUCGGCAAGAAGGAUGUGAAGUCCCAGGGCUUAACCUUGGAACUGCAUUCUUAACUGCCGGGCUAGAGUAUGUCAGAGGGGGGUAGAAUUCCGCGUGUAGCAGUGAAAUGCGUAGAGAUGCGGAGGAAUACCGAUGGCGAAGGCAGCCCCCUGGGAUAAUACUGACGCUCAUGCACGAAAGCGUGGGGAGCAAAC